rnacentral:tRNA from 1 species
AAGGGAGACCUAAUUCAGGUAUGGGACGAAAAAAAAGUAGUCGCUACCAAGAAUCAAUCCCAAAAGGUCGGAGCGAGGUAUGAGGCUUUCAAACUAGGUUCUGGGUUCAAACAAGACCUGAAUCAGGAACAAGGGCUAUUAGCUCAGGUGGUUAGAGCGCACCCCUGAUAAGGGUGAGGUCCCUGGUUCGAGUCCAGGAUGGCCCACCUGCACAGGUGGCAAAAACAAGAGAAGCGAGGAAUCAGCACCUUAUCUUAUCUAUAUAUAAGAGAGAAUGCUGGCUCUGAGUACAGAGUCCAGAGGAACCUUGAAAACUGCAUAGAGCUAGGUGAAAAAGCCAAAAAAGAAGACCGCAA